rnacentral:rRNA from 1 species
GGCAGCAGUCGAGAAUCUUCCACAAUGGACGAAAGUCUGAUGGAGCGACGCUGCGUGUAGGAUGAAGGCCCUAGGGUUGUAAACUACUGUCACGCCAUAGGAACCCGUAGUCGUUAAUAGCGGCUGCGCUGACCAAAGCGAAAGGAAGUGCCGGCUAACUCCGUGCCAGCAGCCGCGGUAAUACGGAGGGCGCAAGCGUUGUUCGGAAUCACUGGGCAUAAAGAGCAUGUAGGCGGUCUAUUAAGUCGGAUGUGAAAGCCCUCGGCCCAACCGGGGAAUUGCAUUCGAUACUGAUAGACUUGAGGACAGGAGGGGUGAGUGGAACUUCAGGUGGAACGGUGAAAUGUGUAGAUAUCUGAAGGAACACCGGUGGCGAAAGCGGCUCACUGGCCUGUCUCUGACGCUGAGAUGCGAAAGCUAGGGUAGCGAACGGGAUUAGAUACCCCGGUAGUCCUAGCCGUAAACGAUGGGUACUAGGUAGUGGGUUUUCCCUAUGGGGCUCAUUGCCGUAGCUAAUGUAUUAAGUACCCCGCCUGGGGAGUACGCUCGCAAGGGUAAAACUCAAAUGAAUUGACGG